ACAUCUUCUCGGCCUUUUGGCUAAGAUCAAGUGUAGUAUCUGUUCCUAUCAAUUUAAUAUCUGAUAUGUCGUCGAUGAGAGGACUUUAUAUUAAACAGAUUUUUGGGCUCAGGUUUGAAUAUAUAUAUAUAUUUUUGAGCCACUUGCCAAGGCGAUCAGCUCCAGGGGAGACGUGUUCUGCAGCGGAGAGGGGGAUCGGACAGGCAGGGCAAAUUUUUC
rnacentral:snRNA from 1 species